CCCUUAGAUGUUCUGGGCAGCACGCGCGCUACAAUGGUCUUCGCAAACGGAUGCAUUCUCGAAGGAGAAUGCCAAUCUUGGAAUCUAUGCCUUGGUCGGGACAGUUGCUUGCAAUUUUUCGACUCGAACCAGGAAGUCCUUGUAAUCGUGAUUCAUCACAUCACGAUGAAUACGUCCCUGCCCUUUGUACACACCGCCCGUCGCUCCUACCGAUCGAAGAGUUAGGUGAAUUGUUUUGAUCGAUAAGAUUUGACUAUGGUCAACUCUCGUUGUGAAAUUCUGUGAAUCUGACUGUUUAGAGGAAGGAAAAGUCGUAACA
rnacentral:rRNA from 1 species